rnacentral:rRNA from 1 species
CUUAAAGACUAGCCUGCACAUCACAUCAUAAAUUACUCCACACAAAUCAAACCAUUUGACAAACCAAGUAUAUGAGAUAGAACCGUACCUCCAGCGCAAUAGCCUAAGCCGUACCACAAGGGAACCAUGAAAGACAACUAAACAAAUCAAGCACGACACAGCAGGAGUGAUACCCCGUACCUUUUGCAUCAUGAUUUAGCCAGCCAUCUACCCACAAAGUGCCCUAUGCUGGUCACCCCGAAACCAGACGAGCUACCUAAAAGCAAUCACCAAGGAU